UGGGGCGUAAAGCGCAUGCAGGUGGUUUGUUAAGUCAGAUGUGAAAGCCCGGGGCUCAACCUCGGAAUUGCAUUUGAAACUGGCAGACUAGAGUACUGUAGAGGGGGGUAGGAAUUUCAGGUGUAGCGGUGAAAUGCGUAGAGAUCUGAAGGAAUACCGGUGGCGAAGGCGGCCCCCUGGACAGAUACUGACACUCAGAUGCGAAAGCGUGGGGAGCAAACAGGAUUAGAUACCCUGGUAG
rnacentral:rRNA from 1 species